GUGGAUAAGGCUGAAUGGUUAAAGUGCCCAACUCAUAAUUGGCCAAUUCGUAGGUUCAAUUCCUACUGAAUGCA
rnacentral:tRNA from 1 species